rnacentral:rRNA from 1 species
AGUGAACGCUGGCGGUAGGCCUAACACAUGCAAGUCGAACGGCAGCACAGUAAGAGCUUGCUCUUACGGGUGGCGAGUGGCGGACGGGUGAGGAAUACAUCGGAAUCUACUUUUUCGUGGGGGAUAACGUAGGGAAACUUACGCUAAUACCGCAUACGACCUACGGGUGAAAGCAGAGGAUCUUCGGACCUUGCGCGAUUGAAUGAGCCGAUGUCGGAUUAGCUAGUUGGCGGGGUAAAGGCCCACCAAGGCGACGAUCCGUAGCUGGUCCGAGAGGAUGAUCAGCCACACUGGAACUGAGACACGGUCCAGACUCCUACGGGAGGCAGCAGUGGGGAAUAUUGGACAAUGGGCGCAAGCCUGAUCCAGCCAUACCGCGUGGGUGAAGAAGGCCUUCGGGUUGUAAAGCCCUUUUAUUGGGAAAGAAAAGCAGCAGGUUAAUACCCCGCUGUUCUGACGGUACCCAAAGAAUAAGCACCGGCUAACUUCGUG